AAGUGAACUUUAGUUAAUGUUCACUUUAAGUUGAUUAUGAAACCGGGCGAGAAGUAGCCGAUUUUGACAGGUAACCGUUAACACAGAUUUUACUGUAUUUACAGGGCCUAAAAAGAAUCUACUGAUUUCUAUUGAUUUUUUGAAAGCAAAACUACUAUCUGUUGCAAGAUAAUUCGGAUGGAAUUGAGACAAAAUAUGUACAGAAAGUACAUAUUUUGUCGGAUAAAAUAAAUAUGUACUUAUACAUAAAUAUGUACUUUCUGUACAUAUUUUGUCGGAAUUCCAGCCGAAUUAUCUUGCAACGGAUAGUACUGAAAGAGUAAGAACUGGCUUGGCAACCCUGUCUACCAAAGCUGAUACAAAGAUUUAAGCUUAUCAAAUCUACUGAUAAAACAAUGGACAAUGGAGAAACCAGCUAAUAAAAAA
rnacentral:lncRNA from 1 species